GACGAACGCUGGCGGCGUGCUUAACACAUGCAAGUCGAACGGAAAGGCCCUGCUUUUGUGGGGUGCUCAAGUGGCGAACGGGUGAGUAACACGUGAGUAACCUGCCCUUGACUUUGGGAUAACUUCAGGAAACUGGGGCUAAUACCGGAUAGGAGCUCCUGCUGCAUGGUGGGGGUUGGAAAGUUUCGGCGGUUGGGGAUGGACUCGCGGCUUAUCAGCUUGUUGGUGGGGUAGUGGCUUACCAAGGCUUUGACGGGUAGCCGGCCUGAGAGGGUGACCGACCACAUUGGGACUGAGAUACGGCCCAGACUCCUACGGGAGGCAGCAGUGGGGAAUAUUGCACAAUGGGCGGAAGCCUGAUGCAGCAACGCCGCGUGCGGGAUGACGGCCUUCGGGUUGUAAACCGCUUUCGCCUGUGACGAAGCGUGAGUGACGGUAAUGGGUAAAGAAGCACCGGCUAACUACGUG
rnacentral:rRNA from 1 species